rnacentral:lncRNA from 1 species
GAAGAGUAUGGAUGGAACUACAAGUGUAUGGAAUUUUACAACAGAGGAAGUUUCAAAGGUUAUGGUUGUGGCUAAAGGUUGAAGAGGGGGGGUGAACGUAAGGAAUUUCAUGGUGGUGACAGGCGGUUCGCGGUGGCUUCCGCGGCCAAGGGCGACAAUGGUGAUAUUCGAUGGUGGUUGUGGUUGUUAUUGUAAGAAGUUUGUGCAGGUGGUGG